AUUGAACGCUGGCGGCAGGCCUAACACAUGCAAGUCGAGCGCGGAAGUUCUUCGGAAUGAGUAAAGCGGCGGACGGGUGAGUAAUACAUGGGAAUCUGCCUGGUAGUGGGGGACAACGUUUCGAAAGGAACGCUAAUACCGCAUACGCCCUACGGGGGAAAGGGGGGGAUCUUCGGACCUCUCGCUAUCAGAUGAGCCCA
rnacentral:rRNA from 1 species